GCAGUGCGUACUGGCAUGUGCCUGUAGUCCCAGCUACUCGGGAGGCUAAGGCUGGAGGAUCGCUUGAGCCCUGGAAUUUUGGGCUGUAGUGCACUAUGCCAAUCUGGUGUUCGCACUAAGUUCAGCAUCAGUAUGGCGACAGUCCGAGAGCGGAGAACCACCAGGCUGCCUAAGGAGGGGUGAACCGGCCCAGGUCAGAAAUGGAGCAGGUCAAAACUCCUGUGCUCAUCAGUAGUGGGAAUGGACUUGUGAAUAGCCACUGCAGUGCAGCCUGGGCAACACAGCGAGACCCUGUCUCU
rnacentral:SRP_RNA from 1 species